GGUGGCGAGUGGCGGACGGGUGAGGAAUGCAUCGGAAUCUACUCUGUCGUGGGGGAUAACGUAGGGAAACUACCGCUAAUACCGCAUACGACCUACGGGUGAAAGCAGGGAUCUUCGGACCUUGCGCGAUUGAAUGAGCCGAUGCCCGAUUAGCUAGUUGGCGGGGUAAGAGCCCACCAAGGCGACGAUCGGUAGCUGGUCUGAGAGGAUGAUCAGCCACACUGGAACUGAGACACGGUCCAGACUCCUACGGGAGGCAGCAGUGGGGAAUAUUGGACAAUGGGCGCAAGCCUGAUCCAGCCAUACCGCGUGGGUGAAGAAGGCCUUCGGGUUGUAAAGCCCUUUUGUUGGGAAAGAAAAGCAGUCGGUUAAUACCCGAUUGUUCUGACGGUACCCAAAGAAUAAGCACCGGCUAACUUCGUGCCAGCAGCCGCGGUAAUACGAAGGGUGCAAGCGUUACUCGGAAUUACUGGGCGUAAAGCGUGCGUAGGUGGUUGUUUAAGUCUGUCGUGAAAGCCCUGGGCUCAACCUGGGAAUUGCGAUGGAAACUGGGCGACUAGAGUGUGGCAGAGGGUAGUGGAAUUCCUGGUGUAGCAGUGAAAUGCGUAGAGAUCAGGAGGAACAUCCGUGGCGAAGGCGACUGCCUGGGCCAACACUGACACUGAGGCACGAAAGCGUGGGGAGCAAACAGGAUUAG
rnacentral:rRNA from 1 species